CUGCUGUGCCACAAACAUGCCCGCUAAGAACUUAGCGAUUGUGUGGGCUCCCAACCUCUUCAGAUCCCAGCAGAACGAGUCUGCCUGCGCCAGCGGACAAGCUGCCUGCAUGGAACUGCAGAGGCAGUUGGACGUGGUAGAAUUCAUCAUCAGCCACACAGACGUCCUCUUCUGCUCCAGAUCCACAUCAGGCAUCGGAGAUGGAGCAGGUGAGCGCCUUCCUGCAUUAGCUUUGUCUUGAUCAGACACCUUGACCUUCUCCAAGAUCGCUGAAAGAUGCUUUUACUAUCGAGGGGCCAGCAGGCUUGUGGGCGUAGAUUAGAAUAUAGCAUCCUGUGGCUGGAUGCUGAGAAUGUCCAAGCCCAAACUUGAGAAGGAGAAAACCGUCCCUGUCACGAUGAUGUUUUGCACGCAGGUGAAGCUUGAUGAAAGCGUGGCAGCAAAGCUUUCUGAGUUCCCUGCCCCCCUCUUCUUGGGUUUUUGUUUGCCUGUUUCGAUACAGUGAGCUGCUGUGAAUGAUGACCAUGUUCUUUGCCAUGAACGUACCUCUGACCACACGGUUCUUUUGACCUCCUCUUCUUCCAGUGGCUCGGAUAAGCAAGUCUGAGAAGCGGGCAGCACCUCCCCCAGAACUGUGAUGGCUGUGCUGCUGCUUUCUGAUCCUCCCUCUUAGCUGUGGUCUUCCCUUCCAGGGCACAGUUCUCCAUCAGGGCCUGAGUCUGUGCGGGUGUCUUCUCCCGCCACCAAGCUGCUCACCGUGGAGGAGGCACAGGCACAGAGGCGAGGCCACAGCAGCUCUCCCGCACUGGCAGACAGCAGGGACAUCGAAGUGGAAGAAGGCCCCGCAGCUGCAGGGGGUAAAAUCCACGCAGUCAUCGACUUUCCAUCUGAAAGACCAAGCAAGAUGAAGGAACCAGCAGCUGGCAGUUGGUGUUCCUGCUUCAGGCCUGAGAGAAGCCAUCCUCUGUGGCCAAACGCCAACUGCAGCGCAAGUGCCAGGGAGCCCUCAGAAACAGAGGUCGUGGUCCUGGCAGGUAAGGGUGCACAUCCCGCUUUCAAAACACUGCUUGUCAGCGCCAUCGAAUUCAUGCUUUCAGUGGGCUUGUACCUCCUUCUAGCAUUCAAGCCCGUGCCUAACAUCUUCAGUUCAGCCCUGUCUUUCUUUCCCAGAUGAGUCUCUUGUGAAGUCAAGAUCUGGACCUGCUGGAGGACCCCCGUCUCGUGCCUUUCCCCAAGUAGUUUUUGAAAGACAGGAGAUGGGCACCACUGCAAUAUGUUUCAGCAUGAUUCCUUAUGACUUUUAUUAUGGAGCCGUUGUGGCUCCAGGUUUCCAUUGUAUCAGCAGGCACACAUUUAAACUCUGUAACACUGCAACAGCGUGAAGGUUUUGUGCAAGGGCUUUGGAGUCCAAACAAAAGAGAAAGAAAAACAACAAAAGCACAGCAGUUCCUUUCAAGAUAGUGGUACUACUGUUGCUAUUGUCCUAUUGGCUUUGUCCUGCUGCCGCUACAUAACCAAAUCUCAAGAACCACUCUCAUAAUUCAGCGUGUGAAAGUUUGACACUAACGCCUGUGUAUCUACUCCUUCCUAGGUGAAUCGAGCCCUUCGUCCACGUAGAAGAGCCAGAGCGUAAUAGCGAUGGUUCACUGUGUGCUUCCAUCAAUGCAGAGCUGCUAGGAAGCACGAAUCGCUGCAGCUCGGAUGAUAGCCUUCCAUAUAACACCAGUGAUGGAAUGAAGGUGAUCAUUCAAGUGGAAGCCCUCAUUCUCUCCCGGCUGUGCUGAAGACGCUGACCUGAGCCUGCCAGAACACAGCAGUCACUGAGCUGGACUGUGACGGGGCGCCAUUGCAGUGCAGCCCAGCCCAAGCACAGCCCGAGUGCCCCGACAGCAGCACCUCCAUGCGGGAUCAGGUCAGUGUCAGCGAGGAGGAGCCGAGCCUUGUGGAAGGGGACUUAGAAUCAGAGCUCCAGUCCCAGGCACUGGGCAGCAGCACGAGCUCUGAGCCCCUCUCUCCUGAACAAGAGAGGAUGUGUCCCAUGUGUCCACCA